rnacentral:rRNA from 1 species
UGAAAAAGUAACCUUUAUAAUAUAUAUGGAGUGAAAUAGAACUUGAAAUUUAAAUACAUAAAAGCGAUUGAAGUAACUUUAAAUAUGUUAUAACAAUGUACCUUUUGUAUAAUGGGUCAGCGAGUUAAUAUAAUUAGUAAUUUUAAAAUUUUUGAAAGAUUUUAAAAGAUAGCGAAAGCGAGUUUUAAUUAAGCAUGAAUUAAUUAUAUUAUUACCCGAAACCGGAUGAUCUAAACAUGUUUAGAUUAAAUAAAUAAAUUUUGGAAAUUUUUAUAAAAAUUUGAUUUAAUUUUAUAAAAAUAUUUAUAUUAGAUUUAUAAUGGAUCGAACUCGUGUAUGUUGCAAAAUACUGGGAUAAAAUGUGUUUAGGGGUGAAAGGCUAAUCAAAUUCGGAUAUAGCUGGUUUUCUACGAAAAUUAUUUACGUAAUGCAUUAAAAUUUAUAACAUAGGGUAAAGCACUUGAUAACUAAAGAAAGGG